AUGUGAAGAAAUAAUAAGGGCACAUGUGAAUGCCUGGUCAUAGGAGCCGAUAAGGACGCAGUAAGCCUGCGAUAGUCUCCGGGUAGGAGCAAACAUCCAAAGAUCCGGAGGAUUCCGAAUGGGGAAACCCGUCCAGCGUUAUGCUGGUCAUCCUGUACUGAAUUCAUAGGUGCAGGAAGGGAACGGAGCGAACUGAAACAUCUUAGUAACUCCAGGAAGAGAAAAUAACAAUGAUCCCCUAAGUAGUGGUGAGCGAAAGGGGAACAGCCUAAACCGUUUACGUGUCAAGCGCAGGGCGUUGCGUACACGGUGUUGUAGGGUCGUUAAGGGGGUCCUGAAUGCCCCCGUCGAAGAGACUUUUUUACAGGAAUGCCGUGGAAAAGGCAGCCAUAGAGGGUGACAGCCCCGUACCGGAAAAGAAAGCCCUCUCGAUGAACGAUACCUGAGUACCACGGAACAUGCCACUCUGUGGGAGGCUAGGGGAACCAUCCCCUCAGGCUAAAUACUCCAUGAACCGAUAGCGAACAAAGUACCGCGAGGGAAAGGUGAGAAGAACCCCGGGAGGGGAGUGAAAGAGAAUCUGAAACCAUGCAUGCCUACAAUCGGUCAGCGCACGAUGGCAGCAAUGCCCGUGUCAUGAUUUGCCUAUUGAAGAAUGAGCCGGGGAGUUGUUUGAAAGGAGCAAGGUUAAGUGGUAACCCACGAAGCCGCAGCGAAAGCGAGUCCGAAUAGGGCGAUUUAGUUCCUUCAUACAGACCCGAAACCGGGUGAUCUACUCAUGGUCAGGAUGAAGCGGAAUUAAGCCUCCGUGGAGGUCCGAACUCGUUAAGGGUGAAAACUUAUGAGAUGAACUGUGAGUAGGGGAGAAAUUCCAAUCGAACCCGGAGAUAGCUGGUUCUCUCCGAAAUGCAUUUAGGUGCAGCUUUGGAUGUUCCAUGUCGGAGGUAGAGCACUGAAAGGGCUAGGAGCCCUAGUCGUCGGA
rnacentral:rRNA from 1 species